rnacentral:rRNA from 1 species
UAGAUCUCAAAUCAGGUAGGACUACCCGCUGAACUUAAGCAUAUCAAUAAGCGGAGGAAAAGAAACUAACAAGGAUUCCCCUAGUAGCGGCGAGCGAAGCGGGAAGAGCUCAAAUUUAUAAUCUGGCACCUUCGGUGUCCGAGUUGUAAUCUCUAGAAGUGUUUUCCGCGUUGGACCGCACACAAGUCUGUUGGAAUACAGCGGCAUAGUGGUGAAACCCCCGUAUAUGGUGCGGACGCCCAGCGCUUUGUGAUACACUUUCAAUGAGUCGAGUUGUUUGGGAAUGCAGCUCAAAUUGGGUGGUAAAUUCCAUCUAAAGCUAAAUAUUGGCGAGAGACCGAUAGCGAACAAGUACCGUGAGGGAAAGAUGAAAAGCACUUUGGAAAGAGAGUUAACAGUACGUGAAAUUGUUGGAAGGGAAACGCUUGAAGUCAGACUUGCUUGCCGGAGCUUGCUUCGGUUUGCAGGCCAGCAUCAGUUUUCCGGGGUGGAUAAUGACGGUUUGAAGGUAGCAGUCUCGGCUGUGUUAUAGCUUUCCGUUGGAUACAUCCUGGGGGACUGAGGAACGCAGCGUGCUUUUUGCGAAAGACUCGUCUU